GCCUGGGUGGCUCAGUGGGUUAAGCGUCUGACUUCAGAUCAGGUCAUGAUCGCACAGUUUGUGGGUUCAAGCCCCUCGUUGGGCU
rnacentral:tRNA from 1 species